rnacentral:tRNA from 1 species
UAUUUUGGCAGAUAAAAUGUGCUAGACUUAGGAUCUAGUUAAAUAGAUUAAUUCUAUAAAUAGUAAA